AUGCCAAGACCGCCUUCGUGGGUUCUUUUCGCCAAGUUCCGAUGCUCGCAGAUUUUGGGGCGCGCCAAGUUCCGUUUAAAGAUGUUCAACUUCAUCCGAUGUGGAUUUCGACAAGUACCACGACGGCCGGAGCCCUCGGAUACGUCAACUUUGACUUCACUGCGAGAGGAAGAACGCCAAGUACCUCUCCGAAAACGAACAUGUACCACUACGUUCGGAGGCAUCGGAUCCGUCAAGUCCAACAACGACUGUGUACAACUAUCGGCGACCUCGAACGACUACGAAAUGGGAACCUCUACUUCCCCUUCAAAACGUGUACCACUACCGCCGCCCGAACGUCUACGGGACAUGUACCACGACCAUCGUUGA
rnacentral:rRNA from 1 species